GAUGAAGAACGUAGCGAAAUGCGAUAAGUAAUGUGAAUUGCAGAAUUUAGUGAAUCAUCGAAUCUUUGAACGCACAUGGCGCCUUCCAGUAUCCUGGGAGGCAUGCCUGUCCGAGCGUCGUUUCAACCCUCGAGCCCCCGUGGCCCGGCGUUGGGGAUCUGCCACGGCAGGCCCCUAAAACCAGUGGCGGACCCGAAGGCCCUCUCCUUUGCGCAGUAGCAUCAGCCUCGCAUUGGGAUCCCUCGGCGUCCUGCCUCUAAACCCCCCACAAGUCCGCUCCGGCGGCACCAAGGUUGACCUCGGAUCAGGUAGGAAUACCCGCUGAACUUAAGCAUAUCAAUAAGCGGAGGA
rnacentral:misc_RNA from 1 species